rnacentral:miRNA from 1 species
AUAUGUAUUUAUAUGUGUGUACAUGUACAUGUCUAUAUGUAUGCAUACACAAACAUACAUGCACAAACAUACAUAUUCCCAAGACAAUGAAGUGGGCUUUUUGA